GCCUUCCCUUAGGGAUGUGAGUCUUGAGGGCUGGGAACAACCUGAUCCUGAUCACAGCACAGCAAGCGAUGCCUUCAGCGGCCUUGAGCAAGUCACACAUUCCCUAAGUCUGUAAGCAAUUCGUGCCAAUUCCAGACAACUCCAGAUGUGCGUCUUUCCCACCAGUAUCUGCAGAGACUUGGCUCUGGAGACGGCGAUCUGCCUGCCAACAUACUGCCUCCCGGUGCUUUCAGCCCUAAGGGUCGAGUUCCCGUUGCCACGCUCUCAUCCCUGGCUGAGCUGCCAGACAUGCUGUGGGAUGGAGGGCAGACGUGCUGUCUUUCAACUCCCUGCCGUCUUCAAGGGUGUCACCAGAGUCAUGGGGUUCUUAAAGAAGAGUAGAGAAGACACAAGAGAAGAGAAGACACGCUCAAAACACAAAAAACUCAGAACAACAUGACCUGCUACCCUGACAAUUGUAGCUGUGAUGUUCCAGUUCCAGAGAUAUAUGCAAUACUGCCCCGUCCUUGGGAUUCACUGAACACAGUUUAUGUGAUGUUGGUUGCAACUAUUUCCAAUUGCAUAUUAGCACAACUUCUCUGGAUUUUGUCUUGGAAAACUCAGUGACUUUAAGACCUCUGGCAUUAAUAACUGCCCAUUCCAGUCUGAGAAUCUGAACCAAGUGCUGCAAAGUUCUCAUUUUCUUAUGAACUUGCCAGAUGAAACCAGAUGCAUAAUACAGCAAAUCUUUCACACACAGCCUAAACACUGGAUAAGCAAUGAAGACAACUGCAUUUCAGCCCAGAGGUGGCUGCAUUUGAGCCACAAGGAAGUAAUCAAUUUAUAAACAAACUUCUCAAGCACUUUGGGAUGAAAACACUAUACAGAAUCAGUUUAAUCCACUCUUCCAACCUAAAUCAUUCUACGAUUCUAUGAUUCUUAUGUGACAAACUCCCAUUUCAUGUUCUUGUUUUCCUGGUUUUGCUAUGCCUAUUACACUGUGAUUCCAAAUGACUUCACUCUGUGCUGGAACAGCGGUCUGCUACAUUCAAAAAAGCCCCAGCAGAAUAAAAAAACUUGUGAUGGAAAUUGGUCCCCUGCUCAUGCUGAGAAACUGUUCAUCUUCCAUUUCUCUCUGUCUGGUUAACAAGUGUCUACCAGUAAUUUGAUGGCAUUAAUAUGGUUUUGAAUUCUGGGCGUACUUUACCCAUCAGUAGCCUGUUGUAGGCACUGUGUUCUGUUGCAAGACGGUUGCCUUGCUGCGGGCUCCCGGCUGCCUUCAUUUUCUACUCUGAUGCUCUCCUGACUGGAACAUCUUACCUCAUCAGCAGAAACAACCAACCUAUAUAUGAAUGGUUUCAAAUUCUGUGACAAUCUGGUGGUUUGCCCUCCCCUUUUGUUGAACCCCGUAAAAAGGACCAAAAGGAGUGUGUCACCUAGUAGUUAAAUAAUGAGAUCAGAAGCCCUGGACUGCCUUUGGCCUGGGCAAUAUUACUGAAACUAGAUGUCAGAAGAGGUCUAAAUUAGGCAUCUGCUGACUGUGCGAGGCAGCUUCACCCAAAAUCUAAUGCCACCAUGUUACACAACGGCUGCCGCGCCUCCUGUGCCUUUGUUUCCUCAUCUAUAACAUGCAGACAGAAGCAUUCAGCCAUCCAGUGGGGUGUAUUGAGAGUUCACUGGCACUUCUGAAGACUUUAGAAAUUCUUGGAU